rnacentral:rRNA from 1 species
GAUGAACGCUGGCGGCGUGCCUAAUACAUGCAAGUCGAGCGAACAGACGAGGAGCUUGCUCCUCUGACGUUAGCGGCGGACGGGUGAGUAACACGUGGAUAACCUACCUAUAAGACUGGGAUAACUUCGGGAAACCGGAGCUAAUACCGGAUAAUAUAUUGAACCGCAUGGUUCAAUAGUGAAAGACGGUUUUGCUGUCACUUAUAGAUGGAUCCGCGCCGCAUUAGCUAGUUGGUAAGGUAACGGCUUACCAAGGCGACGAUGCGUAUCCGACCUGAGAGGGUGAUCGGCCACACUGGAACUGAGACACGGUCCAGACUCCUACGGGAGGCAGCAGUAGGGAAUCUUCCGCAAUGGGCGAAAGCCUGACGGAGCAACGCCGCGGGAGUGAUGAAGGUCUUCGGAUCGUAAAACUCUGUUAUUAGUGAAGAACAAAUGUGUAAGUAACUAUGCACGUCUUGACGGUACCUAAUCAGAAAGCAACGGCUAACUACGUG